rnacentral:lncRNA from 1 species
UGGUGGGAGGUGUGGUUACCUGGGAUGGACACUAAUCAUUUUACAGAUAACAGAUAUUUUCCCUCUGACUGAAAACUCAAUAAUCUGGAAUGAUUCAAAUAUCAGAUUGAUACGACGGUCUCUGAUUCUGGCGGAUAUCUCCUCAAUCCCGAGUGUGGACCUGAUGUUGGACCAGCUUCAGUGGCGUUCUUCUCUCUUCAGAACGUCCCGUCGGUUCUGAGGAACAGCUGGAGGAAGAGCCCCAAAACCGUGAAGAGGGGGAAGAGGAAGAGCGUGGAGGUGGAGGACCUGGUCUUCAGCGAGAACAAGAGGAACAGGGGGAGGGGCGGGGCUCUGAGCAGCAGACAGGAGCAGAAAGCGUCUGCGGUGAUCUUCGACUCUCCCUCCAAAGCCAAAGGUCCGGUGGAGACGGGAACCACAAAACCCCGUCGAGGGCGCAGAAAGCUUUUAAAGACGGGGGUGUCGACGCCGCUGCUCGAUUCCCCUCAAACGGCGUUGGAAGGAGCCGGCGAAGACAAGGAAAGCGAUCACCUGAUCAUCAAGAGGAAGCUGCGCUCUAAAACCGGCAGGAAGUGAUGUCAUCGACCUCGAAAACAUGUACAGAUUUUAUGUCGUCUCAGGAUCAAUAAAGAACAGGAUAAUGUCACAAUCAGAUUCCUCAUUUUCAGGACGUAGACGGGACCGGCCGUCUGUCGUCACUAGAGUUUCAAUAAAGUUAUGAAAAUGGGAUAAACAAGGCGAUUUAUCUUGACGCAUAUCAUGAUAUAUCCCAAGAAUACCAG